GGUGUGGAGAUCUAUCAUCUCGCUGCUACUGUGGCUUCUGUCAAGACUUGGCUUCUAUUGGAUUCAAGUAAUUUGGCAGUAUGCCUAACCACCUUGAAUAGCUACACAACCAUUCCCAACAAAGCUAAUGAGCAGUAAGGAACCUGUAUUUGUUGUGUGCAACUCUCCUACAAAACACUGGGAGUAAGCAGUCUCGUGUUCUCUCUUAUCCACUAGUCCUGGAAGACCUGUUAUGCUACUUGAGAGACGUGAUAUCUAACUAGC